GUCCAAACUCUGAGGACCAGACGGUGAAGGUGGAAGGAAACGGAGAGGGAACCUCCAACUACUUCUCCUUCAACAUGUUCCAGUUCUCUGGAAGCUCUGCUGAGGUCUACCUGCACUGUAAACUGCAGCUGUGUGUCAAACAGGAGAACAGCUGCGUCCCGAUGUGUGAUGGACCUCGCAGACGCAGAUCUAUCAGAUCCAAACAUGGAGCCGCUGCCUUCAUCAGCAUGGCGUGGACCACUUAGGUGAUUGUCACCUGGACAGACUGCCAGGCUGCAGAUGAUUGGUUGGUCAUGAUCCAGAGCCUGGAUGAGUGGAGGUGGAUCCAGUGGAGUGGAGAGGAAGACAGAUCAGUCAUCUCCAACAUCAGGAUUCUGAUCAUUUUAUCCUUAAAGAACAACCAAGCUUUUAGGCCUCAGGUGAUCAUUAUAAUCAGGGGAAAUUUCGCCGGCAUAAAAUGAUACAAUGUGAAAACUGAAGGGCUUUAAAAAUCUAAGUAGGUACAUGUUUAUAAGGGGAAAAAGAGCUCAAAUUUUGGUUUAAAUCUCUGAUUUUUGGCAGGUUUCUAUCUUUGGGUUUAACUUUGUUCCAUCAAAUUUGGAUUU